rnacentral:lncRNA from 1 species
AAGCCAGGGCUCAAACAUCCCCCCCAAGGGCGUCCGGGCUGAUGACGAUAGCGCCCAAUCGCCCUCCAGAAGCAGGCUGGCAGGAACAACCAGAGGGACUUCCCUGACUGACCCCGCGUUUGCUCAGCUUUGAAUUCCCGCUCGGUAGAUCUGUCGCAAUUUAACCAGAGGUCACCCUGUGCAUGGAACUGUUUGAGAAAGAUCAGAGGAUGUGCCCUUGUUGGAGGAGAUGUGUCCCUGGGGGAAGGUCUUGAAACUUCAGAUGCCCUCUCUAUUCCCAGUUAGCACCUCUCUUCCUCAUGUCUACGGAUGAGAAUGGGAAGUUCUCAGCUACUGCUCUAGCACCAUACCUGCCUGCUGGAUGCCGUGCUCCCUGCCAUGAUGGUCAUGGAUUCACCCUUUAAAACUGUAAGCCCUCAGUAAAGUCUUUCUUCU